rnacentral:rRNA from 1 species
UACGUAGGGGGCAAGCGUUGUCCGGAAUAACUGGGCUUAAAGGGCGCGUAGGCGGGCUGACAAGUCUGGGGUGAAAUCCCGCGGCUCAACCGUGGAACUGCCUUAGAUACUGUCGGCCUCGAGGGAGGUAGGGGCGUGCGGAACUGUAGGUGGAGCGGUGAAAUGCGUUGAUAUCUACAGGAACUCCGGUGGCGAAAGCGGCGCGCUGGACCUCUUCUGACGCUGAGGCGCGAAAGCUAGGGGAGCAAACGGG